CCGGAACCGGAAGCGAAAGCGCCGAUCCGGCUUCUGCCGGCGGCGGCGCGGUGUUCUUUUGUUAGAUGCUGUUAAAGAGACAGUAGGACUAAAACGGAGUCACUUGUGGCAAGGCCAUGUCACCAAACAGAGGAUUAACAGCUGACCAAACUGCAGUUCAGCCUCUCCCAGGAAUGUAAGCUCCGCCAGGCAGCUGAUGGACCCCUUGUGUCCCCGAAAGGUGACCUCGCCUGAAACCAGUCCACUCUGCUAAUGACCUCCUUGUGUCUCUCUCCCUCUGUCUAUGAAAACCUUCCAUUUUGCACAGCUCUCCGGAGCUCCUUUCUGUUUGCUAAGAUGACAUGUUGCCCCAUUCAUGAGUCAUUAAAUAAAGCCAAUAAGAUCUUUAAAACUUA